rnacentral:rRNA from 1 species
GGACCCGCACAAGUAGUGGAGCAUGUGGUUUAAUUCGAAGAUACGCGCAGAACCUUACCAACACUUGACAUGUUCGUCGCGACUCCAAGAGAUUAGAGUUUUCGGUUCGGCCGGACGAAACACAGGUGCUGCAUGGCUGUCGUCAGCUCGUGUCGUGAGAUGUUGGGUUAAGUCCCGCAACGAGCGCAACCCUCACUUUUAGUUGCCAUCAUUAAGUUGGGCACUCUGAAAGAACUGCCAGUGAUAAGCUGGAGGAAGGUGGGGAUGACGUCAAGUCCUCAUGGCCCUUACGUGUUGGGCUACACACGUGCUACAAUGGUAUCUACAACAGGAAGCAAGACGGCGACGUUAAGCAAAUCCUUAAAAGAUACCUCAGUUCGGAUUGCACUCUGCAACUCGACUCUAUGAAGCUGGAAUCGCUAGUAAUCG